AUUCAGCUGAUGAGUCGCGAAUAGGAUGAAACACGCGUUCUGAAU
rfam:Schistosoma mansoni strain Puerto Rico chromosome W, complete genome